UUUCUUGCACCAUCACGAUUGCGCCGAGUUGAUCUCGGCGAUAACGUGUACGGCGCACGAAGGAAAGACGCCUGGGCGCAGUAGCGCAUGCGCGAAGAGCUGAUAAUCGUCAGUGAAAUAUACAUAUAAGAAGCGGCCGCCGGGAGGCCCGCCCGUCAUACUGAAUUUGACGCUACGCCAUGCUAAUACUGUCGCCCGUGUCAGCUGAAUCAGCGAUUGACGACUUUUGACGCCAUAUAUACCACUUCACCGACUCCUUUCACCGCCUGGUUCUAAGCUGAGAGGCGUCCUCGAAGCAUUGCCUCGUGGCUACUCCUAUUAUGACAUCAACUUCUGCAAGCGCGGUUACGAGGCUUAGCACGACCCAUUGGGGCUCCUGGAAUGCAUAUGUUACGCCCGGCGGCCAUUUCAUCCCUUCUCACGCAUGAGCUGUCACGCUUGACGCAAACGCUUCGGUUGCUGUCUUAAGUCGCGCCUGCAGUCAAGUUUUCUUUUGUUCGUGUGCGCCUGGAUAUGAAUUGACAGUGCCAAUCAACCGGGGGACAACGAAACAACUGUCGUCGCCACGUGCCUCACCAGCUAACCUACAAGGUGAAUCCCGUGCAACCAAGUGACCGUGUCACUACUCCGGGGAACAACGCAACCACGUGACCGUGGCACUUCUCCGAGGGACAACGGAGCAACCGACGUCGCUACGUUCGAUCUUCGGCAGUUAUAUUCACCAGGUGCGAUUCUAGCUUGCGAGGGUGGCGCGGCCAUAAAUCAACUAACUGGCAAUGUCAAUUGUUUUAGACUGAUUGGCAAGAGAAGGCCGCUGCCACAAUGGGUCGUCGUCGUGACGGAAGCGGAGAGGACUGGGCGGGGCGAUUGUAGCUUUAGGCUUAGCUAACACUAGGAAGGGUAGCUCACGCUGCGCAGGCUCCAGCUGGCAGGGGUCCUCUCUCGUUUGCGACACGGACGUCGGCCCAUUCCGAGUGCUAUUGCUUCCCGGUCAUAAUUUCGCGUGUCGGCGCGCGCGAAAUGUGGAAGUAAAUUGCACCCGGAAUUAAUUAGUGCCAGGUUUCUUCCAGCAAAACAGAAGAAGAACGGACGUUGCCUACGGUCUGCAGCGCGGUGCGCUGCGGCGAAGACAGUGGUGGGUGGCCGCAUUUUCUUUUGCCUUCCGUAUGUUCUCGUCCCUAUUGCUGUGUCACGCCGUGCUUUCGUCGCUCGACAAGCCAACCAUCGUGGACUAGUCCCAUCGCCCACGCCAGCGCAAUGACGCUUGUCAUGGUGAGUACGUGCUUUCUGGUUACUUUCGUGAUUUAACAAGUGCCCCCCCCCCCUUUUUUUUUUAGGUUUCAGAUCUGCAACCUGUGCCUUGGCUUGGCCCCUGGCACAUGUUCCUGCACCCGGCCGUGUCCCGCACUGAGCACGUUCAGCACCAAUCUGUCAUCCAGCAGCUGAUCGGGACUUCACUUCUGUUCCUGCCUCACUGAUAUUGGUUUCCGGCUGAAUGAAGAUGCCUGCAAUAUCUGUGCUGCAGUACGUCGACUGCUCUGCGCAUCCUUUGGUGCCAGACGAAUGCGACGGAUUUUCCUGCAGCCGGCCGUGUCUCGCACAGAUGAUGUUCAGCACCUGUCGUCCCACGUCUGACCGCGUCACUUCUGUUCCUGCCUCACUGCUGUUGGUGUCCUGCUGAAUGAAGUUGCCUGCAAUCCAUGCCCUGCAGAACGUCCAUUGCACUCUGCAACCCUUGUCUUGACAUCUGCCGCCCAUCAAGGCCUGUCCCACCAGCGUAUAGUAGGCAAUGACACCAAGUCAAGACCGUAGGGAGGCAAGCGUUUCUCUCGCCACUCAUCGCAUUGCUGCUCCCGAAAACGUCGUGCUGCAGGUUCGCUGCCUCGACGAGGCCACAAAACUGUGAAGUCCCAAGAAACAGCACGACGUAGCGUGACAUGAAUGCUCAUCUAACAUUCCGGUUGGAGUUGUUCGUUCCACCCUAUAGCAGUAUGACGGCCACUCGAUGAACUCGCACGUUAUUCAGUGGCUGUGACCGUAUGACGUGAGUACCGAAAAAUGCCAGGUAGCAUGCUGUUCUAGCUCAUCGUAGUAGUACACUGCUCAGAAUCUAGCAAUUGGGUUGUUCUGGGGAUUCUUGCUUCUUACGCUCACUAACAUUCUGUGCUUUUGUAAUGGUACACCGAUGCUGCUUUGCGUUG